GGGGUCAUCCCGACUUACCAACCCGAUGCAAACUGCGAAUACCGGAGAAUGUUAUCACGGGAGACACACGGCGGGUGCUAACGUCCGUCGUGAAGAGGGAAACAACCCAGACCGCCAGCUAAGGUCCCAAAGUCAUGGUUAAGUGGGAAACGAUGUGGGAAGGCCCAGACAGCCAGGAUGUUGGCUUAGAAGCAGCCAUCAUUUAAAGAAAGCGUAAUAGCUCACUGGUCGAGUCGGCCUGCGCGGAAGAUGUAACGGGGCUAAACCAUGCACCGAAGCUGCGGCAGCGACGCUUAUGCGUUGUUGGGUAGGGGAGCGUUCUGUAAGCCUGCGAAGGUGUGCUGUGAGGCAUGCUGGAGGUAUCAGAAGUGCGAAUGCUGACAUAAGUAACGAUAAAGCGGGUGAAAAGCCCGCUCGCCGGAAGACCAAGGGUUCCUGUCCAACGUUAAUCGGGGCAGGGUGAGUCGACCCCUAAGGCGAGGCCGAAAGGCGUAGUCGAUGGGAAACAGGUUAAUAUUCCUGUACUUGGUGUUACUGCGAAGGGGGGACGGAGAAGGCUAUGUUGGCCGGGCGACGGUUGUCCCGGUUUAAGCGUGUAGGCUGGUUUUCCAGGCAAAUCCGGAAAACUAAGGCUGAGGCGUGAUGACGAGGCACUACGGUGCUGAAGCAACAAAUGCCCUGCUUCCAGGAAAAGCCUCUAAGCAUCAGGUAACAUCAAAUCGUACCCCAAACCGACACAGGUGGUCAGGUAGAGAAUACCAAGGCGCUUGAGAGAACUCGGGUGAAGGAACUAGGCAAAAUGGUGCCGUAACUUCGGGAGAAGGCACGCUGAUAUGUAGGUGAAGCGACUUGCUCGUGGAGCUGAAAUCAGUCGAAGAUACCAGCUGGCUGCAACUGUUUAUUAAAAACACAGCACUGUGCAAACACGAAAGUGGACGUAUACGGUGUGACGCCUGCCCGGUGCCGGAAGGUUAAUUGAUGGGGUCAGCGCAAGCGAAGCUCUUGAUCGAAGCCCCGGUAAACGGCGGCCGUAACUAUAACGGUCCUAAGGUAGCGAAAUUCCUUGUCGGGUAAGUUCCGACCUGCACGAAUGGCGUAAUGAUGGCCAGGCUGUCUCCACCCGAGACUCAGUGAAAUUGAACUCGCUGUGAAGAUGCAGUGUACCCGCGGCAAGACGGAAAGACCCCGUGAACCUUUACUAUAGCUUGACACUGAACAUUGAGCCUUGAUGUGUAGGAUAGGUGGGAGGCUUUGAAGUGUGGACGCCAGUCUGCAUGGAGCCGACCUUGAAAUACCACCCUUUAAUGUUUGAUGUUCUAACGUUGACCCGUAAUCCGGGUUGCGGACAGUGUCUGGUGGGUAGUUUGACUGGGGCGGUCUCCUCCUAAAGAGUAACGGAGGAGCACGAAGGUUGGCUAAUCCUGGUCGGACAUCAGGAGGUUAGUGCAAUGGCAUAAGCCAGCUUGACUGCGA
rnacentral:rRNA from 1 species